AGCCUGAUGCAGCCAUGCCGCGUGUAUGAAGAAGGCCUUCGGGUUGUAAAGUACUUUCAGCAGUGAGGAAGGUGGUAGUGUUAAUAGCACUAUCAUUUGACGUUAGCUGCAGAAGAAGCACCGGCUAACUCCGUGCCAGCAGCCGCGGUAAUACGGAGGGUGCGAGCGUUAAUCGGAAUUACUGGGCGUAAAGCGCAUGCAGGUGGUUUGUUAAGUCAGAUGUGAAAGCCCGGGGCUCAACCUCGGAAUUGCAUUUGAAACUGGCAGACUAGAGUACUGUAGAGGGGGGUAGAAUUUCAGGUGUAGCGGUGAAAUGCGUAGAGAUCUGAAGGAAUACCGGUGGCGAAGGCGGCCCCCUGGACAGAUACUGACACUCAGAUGCGAAAGCGUGGGGAGCAAACAGGAUUAGAUACCCUGGUAGUCCACGCCGUAAACGAUGUCAACUAAAAGGUUGUGGCCUUGAGCCGUGGCUUUCGGAGCUAACGCGUUAAGUAGACCGCCUGGG
rnacentral:rRNA from 1 species